GGAUGCGAUCAUACUAGCACUAAAGCACCGGAUCCCAUCAGAACUCUGAAGUUAAGCGUGCUUGGGCGAGAGUAGUACUAGGUUUGGUGACCUCCUGGGAAGUCCUCGUGUUGCAUUCC
rfam:Triticum aestivum genome assembly, contig: Triticum_aestivum_CS42_TGACv1_scaffold_088808_1DS